rnacentral:rRNA from 1 species
CGUGUAGGCGGGAAGAUAAGUCAGAUGUGAAAUCCCAGGGCUUAACUCUGGAGCUGCAUCUGAAACUGUUUUUCUUGAGUACUGGAGAGGAAAGUGGAAUUCCUAGUGUAGCGGUGAAAUGCGUAGAGAUUAGGAGGAACACCAGUGGCGAAGGCGGCUUUCUGGACAGUAACUGACGCUGAGGCGCGAAAGCGUGGGGAGCAAACA